rnacentral:tRNA from 1 species
GCUCCCUUAGCUCAGCUGGAUAGAGCAACUGCCUUCUAAGCAGUCGGUCGUCGGUUCGAAUCCGCCAGGGGGCGC